rnacentral:rRNA from 1 species
GGUGAACGCUGGCGGCGUGCCUAAUACAUGCAAGUCGAGCGAACAGACGAGGAGCUUGCUCCUCUGACGUUAGCGGCGGACGGGUGAGUAACACGUGGAUAACCUACCUAUAAGACUGGGAUAACUUCGGGAAACCGGAGCUAAUACCGGAUAAUAUAUUGAACCGCAUGGUUCAAUAGUGAAAGACGGUUUUGCUGUCACUUAUAGAUGGAUCCGCGCCGCAUUAGCUAGUUGGUAAGGUAACGGCUUACCAAGGCAACGAUGCGUAGCCGACCUGAGAGGGUGAUCGGCCACACUGGAACUGAGACACGGUCCAGACUCCUACGGGAGGCAGCAGUAGGGAAUCUUCCGCAAUGGGCGAAAGCCUGACGGAGCAACGCCGCGUGAGUGAUGAAGGUCUUCGGAUCGUAAAACUCUGUUAUUAGGGAAGAACAAAUGUGUAAGUAACUAUGCACGUCUUGACGGUACCUAAUCAGAAAGCCCCGGCUAACUACGUG